rnacentral:lncRNA from 1 species
GUGGAGGCCCGGCGGGCGUGAUGGCGUCCGCCCGGCGUGGCCGCCGUUGCGCUUUGUGCCUUUCCGGCCUGGUCGUGUUGUGUGUGGGCGUUAAAGGCGCCCGAAGCGAUUUGGCAGUGAGUGUCGAUGUGCUGUUCUGGACCCUCCUGUGCGGGUGAUAUCACCAUGACGUGAUGACCUCACAGAUGCCCUGGGGUGGGGCAGGGGCAGUGGGUCAGCGCGGAACCUGCUGGCCCCAUUCUGCGGGUGGUGCUGGUCCAGCGAGGAGCUGUGCGAGUGGUGCAGCAAUGCGGGCCCAGUGUGUCAGCAGAAGAUUAAGGGCGGUGUGGCGUGCGAAGCUGGUGGAGGAGGAGCUGCUGGCUCAUGCGGCCGUGGAGAAGUGCAAGGCCGUGGCCAGGGAAUCCUUGAUGAAGGAUGCCCAGAAAUUACGGGCAGAAAGAACAGCUGCCAGGAAAGAGAAGCUGAAGCAGGAGAAGCAGCUCGUUGCCCAGCUGGAACAGCAGCUGCAGGCUGAGACAGAGGAGAUGGAGGUGCUGCGCCAGGAAAAACAGCGCCUGCAAGAGGAGCGGGAGGAGCUGGAGCUGGAGGGUGCCUGGCAGCAGCAUCAGCUGGAGCUGGAGGCAGCCCACGUGCCUGGGGCUGUGCUGCCGAAGCUGGUGGAGGCAGAGCUGGAGAAGAAGGAGCAGGCGAGGAGACGUGGGCUCGCCUUCUGGAUGAAGACAAUCUGCCUCAUCUUCGUCAGCCUCCUGCUGCUGCUCGUUGCCGUGCUGGGCUCUGCAGUGCUGUACGCCCAGCACUAUGACCAGGAGCUGUUGUAUCGGCUCCUGCUGCGAGUGCUGCCCCAGGCAAUGUACGCUUCCCCGGCGUACUUUGCGAGCAGGAGCCUGCGUGUGGUCUGUGAUGGGCUGCUGCCCAUCUGACCGCCCCUCUCAGUCCCCCGUCCCAGCUCGGGGCUGCGCGGUGGGGCGCGGGGAGAGAGCUCUGUCCCCACGGAAGGGGCCUCUCCUGUGCUCCUGCCCCCAGGGGCGCACAGGCACAGCUGUGGGGCAGUGCUGGCAGGCGGCUGAGUGCCACCACUUUGGACGUACAAAUAAGUUUGUUCUGUCGUCGUCAACUGAACACCACCACCUCCGACGACCCAUCAGACUGAAGAUGUGCACCUGACGCCAGGACGUGGCUUCUUGGAUUCUUUGAGACUUCGUAGCAGCCAUUUCCUACGACUGGUUACCUAUAAGGCUUAUGAAUUGUAAUUCGCCCAUUAGGCAAUGUUACCUCCAAUGGGCUGUUGUCAGUUGUUAAGAACGCUGUCAAUAAAUGGAUGUGUA